AAGAUGUAGCAGCGUUCGCUUCUUAAGUCAAAGGCAUUGGCUUACCACCCUUUGAAUUGGUGACCUCUUCCUUUGCUACAUCUUCAUCAUUUGCCUAGGUAUUUGAGGGUUCUCCAUUCUAACGCCUGUCAGAUCUUCAUUCAACAAAUCCAAUCUCCAUACUUGAGAUUCAAGUUGGACAAUUUGGUUGUCGUGCUCCUCCAACAUCUAUUGCCAUUCUUCUGUUGGUUUCAAAGGUAUCUCCAAAGGUGUUGUCACUAAAACUGGUGUAUUGGUCCGUAAUAAAUUAUUGGCCUCCUUCACUAAUACAGCUAGUUUAGUCUGCAACAUUGCAACCUCUACUUACAGUUGUUCUUGCUGUUCUUUCCAACCAGUCUCCAUCCUUGCUUUCCUAAAUACCAUGUUUGCCAUCUUCUCCUUUUCCGCCAUCCACUUCUCUUUUAUCCUAACCUCCACCAGCGCAAUAUCAAUUGGUGGUAAGUUUUGCGAGAUGCGCAAAAAUCCAUGCCUAUUUGCUCCUCAAAAAUCUUGCUACUUUUUUUUAGUCCAACAAACAUCCAAUCGGAUUGGCUCCAUAUUAGUCUUAAUAAUACACUCCAAAAAUAGAAAUUUAUCCUUGCACCUUAUAUUGCAUUGUUUUUCUUCCCUAUUCA
rnacentral:lncRNA from 1 species